rnacentral:rRNA from 1 species
AACCUGGUUGAUCCUGCCAGUAGUCAUAUGCUUGUCUCAAAGAUUAAGCCAUGCAUGUCUAAGUAUAAGCCUUUGUACGGCGAAACUGCGAAUGGCUCAUUAAAACAGUUAUAGUUUAUUCGAUAAUCAAUUGCUACAUGGAUAACUGUAGUAAUUCUAGAGCUAAUACAUGCGUCAGCACCCAACUUUACGGAAGGGUCGUGUUUAUUAGAUACAAAACCAACAUCUCGUUGGUGACUCAUAAUAACCAAGCGAAUCGUCGGUUUACCGACGAUAGAUCGUUCAAGUUUCUGACCUAUCAGCUUUCGACGGUAGUGUAUUGGACUACCGUGGCUAUGACGGGUAACGGAGAAUUAGGGUUCGAUUCCGGAGAGGGAGCCUGAGAAACGGCUACCACAUCUAAGGAUGGCAGCAGGCGCGCAAAUUACCCAAUCCUGACACAGGGAGGUAGUGACAAGAUAUAACAAUGCAGGGCAAAUUGUCUUGCAAUUGGAAUGAGUAAAUUCUAAACCCCUUUGCGAGUACCAAUUGGAGGGCAAGUCUGGUGCCAGCAGCCGCGGUAAUUCCAGCUCCAAUAGCGUAUAUUAAAGUUGUUGCGGUUAAAAAGCUCGUAGUUGGAUUUCUGCCGAGGACGACCGUCCGACCCAUACGGGUUUGUGACUGGUUAGACCGAGGCAUCCUCUUGGAAGACGUGUUCCACUUUACUGUGGUCACGGAGUCCAGGACUUUUACUUUGAGGAAAUUAGAGUGUUUCAAACAGGCUUACGCCGUGAAUACAUUAGCAUGGAAUAAUAAGAUAG